CCCUUAGAUGUUCUGGGCUGCACGCGCGCUACACUGAUGCACUCAACGAGUUUACGACCUUGCCCGAUAGGGUUGGGUAAUCUUUUUAAAAUGCAUCGUGAUGGGGAUAGAUUAUUGCAAUUAUUAAUCUUCAACGAGGAAUUCCUAGUAAGCGCGAGUCAUCAGCUCGUGCUGAUUACGUCCCUGCCCUUUGUACACACCGCCCGUCGCUCCUACCGAUUGAGUGCUCAGGUGAAUAAUUCGGACUGCUGCAAUGUUUGGAUCCCGAACGUUGCAGCGGAAAGUUUAGUGAACCUUAUCACUUAGAGGAAGGAGAAGUCGUAACA
rnacentral:rRNA from 1 species